GAGAGCCGGAUGCGGCGAGAACCGCACGUCCGGUUCGGCGGGCGGCCACGGGAAACGGACCCGCGGGCAACCCGGGC
rnacentral:ncRNA from 1 species